UCUCAAAUCGCUCCUAACCUAAUUCCUUCUCGUACCCGAGCCUCCUCACUCGAGCAAGUCGCGCACCUUGCAUGGUGGUGAGGAUGCCUGGGCCAUGGCGACAAGGACACCCACGGCAGUAAGGACGUUGGCGGCCGCUUCAAAGCCGCCAUUGAAUCUAAGUUUUUAAAUCCACCCAUGCGCUACCACCAUCCAUGACCUCCUCUGGAACCACAGCCUCCCCAACAAGUUAUCCCCAAGUCUGUCAAGUGUUUAUCCUACGAUGAUGCCUCCGAUCUUCUCGAGGUCCGACUCUAAGGCCCCUGCUAUGUGCACUACGAAGAUGGGCUCACCUACUUCGACAGGGAGGUGAGGGGGAACCUCAGCUACGGCACGCUCCGUAGGGUGGUUGGGUGGGCAUAGGAGGAGCUGUUCCUUAAAUUCCCUAUCAAGGGGAUCAUGGUCACCGAUCCCACCUCUGGCAUGAUCCACUUUGACAUCGGCAUCGCCCGCAAGCGCCUUGCUGCCUCUGCCUUCGACAUGCCGCCGGAAUGCCGCCCGGAAGUGGAAGAAGCGACCGUCAGAAUAGUUCCUUUGCAGAGUCAUUGCAAAUAGUUGGUGGAUUUCUUCAUCAGAGUUGAUCAUCAUAAAAAAAAUAAUUCAUAAAAUUGCCAAUGGUUGCCUUACUCAAGUUGAGGUUAAGAUCCAAGGUUUUGUUCUUAUUGCAAAGGGUUUAUUUGCAUCUUUCAAGGAUGAGGCUAUCUCUUCAUUCUCUCUGAUCACCAAAAGAAGGAACAAAAUAGAGAAAAACAAAAUUUUGAUGACUACUCUACUCAUUCUUCAUUCAAUCUUCAAUCUUGAUGUGAUGUGGUGGGUGGAAAAUUUGCUAGAGGGUUACAAUCUACAGUGAUGAGAUGUGAUGAGUGAUUCAUGUAAGGGGAGGGUGUAUGAAGUUCAACACGAUUGACACUUUGGAAGAUCAAACCACUAAAGUUUCAACAAAUUUGCUCUAAUAAGAAGAAUAAAGAAUUAUCACAAAAAGUUGAAGACAUGCAGCUACUAGCAAGAGGAUGGAGGAAGAAAUUACUAAAAGGAAAAGAAAAUUGGAAUUGUAAUGUGUGAUUGCUUUUAUCUUAAAACUAUGUGAAUAUUUAUUUAUCUCAAUGUUAAUCAUAUUGUACUUUUGGAUUUAGAAAUUAGUUAUUUUAAUAUUUUAAAUUUAUUUGAAAUUUGUGAUUUCUUAUUGUAAAGUAAUAUGUAGAUAUGAAAUGUAGGUAAAAUUAGUGAUAAAUUUGAAAAUAAAAUUAUAUGUGUAUUUAUAAACAGAAUUAUAAAUGGAUUGAUAAACAUAUUAACAUUAUAUUUGUUAGGUAAUUCGAGACAGACUAAAGACAGAUUUAAAACAAAAUUAGAAACAAAAUUUGUAUUUGAAAUUAAUUUCAUUUAGUUAAAAUAAAAACAGAUUCAUAAACAGUUUUUUAAUCCGUUUUUGAAAUUAGAGACGGAAUAUUUCCGUCUCAAGAUUAGCCACGGGGCUUUCACUAACGAAUUUUUGAAACGGAAUAUUCUGUCUCAAAUAUUUUUUAGAAACAGAAAAAUGACUUUCAGAGACAGAAUUUUUCGUUUCUGAAGCCAUGUUUUCUUGUAGUGUUAGAAUUUUCAUUGAAAAGGAAGCUAGCCCUUUGUAUACAGUCACUAGUGUCUCACCCGAAUCAAUACUCAAAAUGCAUGUCAAACCUGAGGUGAUUAAAAUGAUUGAGACAAGCUUCCUGGGUUUUCUUGUUUUAUUUUUGUUCUUAUAUCUUUUUUCUUUAUUUUUUGAGACAAGAACAAAGUUUGUAACAUGAUUCUCUUAUUUAAUAGACCUCAUUGAUCCGACCUUUUGUUGUUUGUGCUGUUUUGAGGGGAAUAACCUUUGAUGAAGCAAGAUACAACAACUUCAUUGACCUGCAAGAUAAAUUGCACCAAAAUAUAUGUUGCGAAGAACCUUAGUUUCAAUUGGGACACAUGAUUUGGAUACAAUACAAGGUCCUUUUUCCUAUGAGGAGAAAAUUUUUAGGACUGAUGAGCUGUUGGAAUAUUACAAAGUAAGUUUUUCUAGAUUGUUUCUUCAAUAAAUUGAUUGAUUAAUCACUGAUGCAGAACUUCUUUCUUCUAUUUAAAAGCACUUAUUCUACGUUGAUAGUGGAUUAAUGUAAAUGCUCCUAUCUAUUUUGAAACACAGUAGCUUGCCUCUGUUGUCGACUUGUAUAUUAAUAAUUUAUUUCUUUUGUAUGCCUUGUUUUGUGAAAAUGCAAAUUUCUAAAACCAUGAAGACUAUUGACUUAUCACCAUUCCUGUAUAUUGCAAUCAGAUAUGAAGCUUAAGAAGUUCUUGCACAUAAUUGAGAACUCUCCUGUGUACCCAGUGAUCUAUGAUAGAAAUAUGUAAAAACAAUCAUCUGGUACCCACAUUAUUUGGCUACAACCUGACAAUCUCUUGGUUAAUUUGUCAAAUAAUUGAUUUUGAUUAUUCUCUAAUGUACUUUAUACUUA